GCGCGGCGAAAAACCUUACACACAGUGUUUUUUGUUAUUACAAGAACUUUUGCUUUGGUCUGGACUAGAAAUAGUUUGGGCCAGAGGUUUACUGAACUAAACUUCAAUAUUUAUAUUGAAUUGUUAUUUAUUUAUUUGUCAAUUUGUUGAUUAAAUUCAAAAAAUCUUCAAAACUUUCAACAACGGAUCUCUUGGUUCUCGCAUCGAUGAAGAACGCAGCGAAAUGCGAUAAGUAAUAUGAAUUGCAGAUUUUCGUGAAUCAUCGAAUCUUUGAACGCACAUUGCGCCCUCUGGUAUUCCAGAGGGCAUGCCUGUUUGAGCGUCAUUUCUCUCUCAAACCUUCGGGUUUGGUAUUGAGUGAUACUCUUAGUCGAACUAGGCGUUUGCUUGAAAUGUAUUGGCAUGAGUGGUACUGGAUAGUGCUAUAUGACUUUCAAUGUAUUAGGUUUAUCCAACUCGUUGAAUAGUUUAAUGGUAUAUUUCUCGGUAUUCUAGGCUCGGCCUUACAAUAUAACAAACAAGUUUGACCUCAAAUCAGGUAGGAUUACCCGCUGAACUUAAGCAUAUAA
rnacentral:rRNA from 1 species